GAUGAAGAACGCAGCGAAAUGCGAUAAGUAAUGUGAAUUGCAGAAUUCAGUGAAUCAUCGAAUCUUUGAACGCACAUUGCGCCCGCCAGUAUUCUGGCGGGCAUGCCUGUUCGAGCGUCAUUUCAACCAUCAAGCCCCCGGCUUGUGUUGGGGACCUGCGGCUGCCGCAGGCCAUGAAAAGCAGUGGCGGGCUCGCUGUCACACCGAGCGUAGUAGCAUACAUCUCGCUCUGGGCGUGCUGCGGGUUCCGGCCGUUAAACCACCUUCAUAACCCAAGGUUGACCUCGGAUCAGGUAGGAAGACCCGCUGAACUUAAGCAUAUCAAUAAGCGGAGGA
rnacentral:misc_RNA from 1 species